GGGGGCGACAUGGCUUCGACGUGGAUCGCAAAACCUUAGGUGCAUGCCGAGGGGCAGAGAACCUCGUAAAUCCAACUGCACAUUUAUAGUUGCCAACGACGACAACUACGCUCUGGCUGCUUAGUCGGCCAGCCUUCGUGAGAAUGCCUGCUUAUGGGCGUUCUUCUCGGGGGUAACCCAAACAUAAGCUACGUGGUGAAGCCUGUCCGGGGCGGAUCCGCUAAAACCUCACGGAAUCGCUGAAUGCUCCCUGCCCGUCGGGCAGCCUUCAGUUAAAUCAAUAGGCUGGGAUAAGCAUGUAGAUCCGAGGGCGGAGGAUUUGCGGACGCGGGUUCAAUUCCCGCCGCCUCCACCA
rnacentral:tmRNA from 1 species